rnacentral:rRNA from 1 species
AGCGUUAUCCGGAUUUAUUGGGCGUACAGGGUGCGUAGGCGGUUGUGUAAGUUUGAGGUUAAAGCCCGGAGCUCAACUCCGGUUCGCCUUGAAAACUACAUAACUAGAAUGCAAGAGAGGUAAAUGGAAUUCCAUGUGUAGCGGUAAAAUGCGUAGAUAUAUGGAAGAACACCUGUGGCGAAAGCGGUUUACCAGCUUGUUAUUGACGCUGAGGCACGAAAGCGUGGGGAGCAAAUAGGAUUAGAUACCCUAGUAGUCCACGCCGUAAACGUUGAGUACUAGGUGUCGGGAAUUAUCUCGGCGCCGCAGCUAACGCAUUAAGUACUCCGCCUGAGUAGUAUGCACGCAAGUGUGAAACUCAAAGGAAUUGACGGGGACCCGCACAAGUGGUGGAGCAUGUGGUUUAAUUCGAAGCAACACGAAGAACCUUACCAGGGCUUGACAUCCAGUGCAAAGGCAUAGAGAUAUGCUGGAGGCUAACAUUGAGACAGGUGGUGCAUGGUUGUCGUCAGUUCGUGCCGUGAGGUGUUUGGUUAAGUCCAGCAACGAACGCAACCCUUGUCAUUAGUUACUAACAUUAAGUUGAGGACUCUAAUGAGACUGCUAGUGUAAGCUAGAGGAAGGUGGGGAUGACGUCAAAUCAUCAUGCCCCUUAUGUCCUGGGCUACACACGUGCUACAAUGGCUGAUACAAAGAGUCGCAAUCUCGUAAGGAGGAGCUAAUCUCAUAAAGUCAGUCUCAGUUCGGAUUGAGGGCUGCAACUCGCCCUCAUGAAGCCGGAAUCACUAGUAAUCGCGAAUCAGACAUGUCGCGGUGAAUACGUUCUCGGGUCUUGUACACACCGCCCGUCACACCACGAGAGUUGGUAACACCAGAAGUAGGUAGCCUAACCGUAAGGAGG